AGUGAACGCUGGCGGCGUGCUUAACACAUGCAAGUCGAACGAGAACGGAUUAUAGCUUGCUAUAAUAGUCAGCUAAGUGGCGCACGGGUGAGUAAUGUAUAGGUAAUAUGCCUCUUACUAAGGGAUAACAAAUGGAAACGUUUGUUAAUACCUUAUACUCCUUAUUAACAGAAGUUAAUAAGGGAAAGAUUUAUUGGUAAGAGAUUAGCCUGUAUUGUAUCAGUUAGUUGGUGGGGUAAUGGCUUACCAAGACUAUGACACAUAACUGGUUUGAGAGGAUGAUCAGUCACACUGGAACUGGGACACGGUCCAGACUCCUACGGGAGGCAGCAGUGGGGAAUAUUGCACAAUGGACGAAAGUCUGAUGCAGCAACGCCGCGUGGAGGAUGACACAUUUCGGUGCGUAAACUCCUUUUAUAUGAGAAGAUAAUGACGGUAUUAUAUGAAUAAGCACCGGCUAACUCCGUGCCAGCAGCCGCCGUAA
rnacentral:rRNA from 1 species